rnacentral:lncRNA from 1 species
CACAGCCAUUUGUGGGAUUUUACUGCACGCUAACAGAGCAUCCAGCUCCUGGCUAUCAAUGCGUAAGGCUCUAGGGACCAGGUAACACGUGCAAAAUAAACUGCUACGGCAUUGAAGCAGAGAUAUCAGUCAUUGCCACUUUCAGCUCUUGUUGCUAAGUGGUCCCAAAUGGCACCAUAGUUCUUGCAUGAAUCCACUGGAAGAGUCACUUCUGGGGAGGAAUGGCUCUGGGAACUGCACAGCUCCCAGCACACAUAGGUUGCGUUUGUUGGGAGCAAUGCAUUGUGAGAACACCAAUGUGAUGUCACCUCCUCCUUCAUCAGUUGUGAUGUUCCAGGCCCACCGCAGCCAUCGCGUGCAUCAGGGAGAUCUGUUCGUUGGCUUCAGCAUGGAUACAGGGAGAAGGAAAACACCAGGAGAGAGUUCAGUGACUUGGGAGGAUCUCUUGGUUCACUGGGAAUACACUACUGCUGAAUCUCUAUGCUCAUCUAUGUGACUUACAACUUCUAGAGUUGUAUGCAGAGACACUUGGCCAAUAGCCAGAGUCACCACUCAGCGAGAGUUUGGAUCCGUGAUGGGAAGAAGGAGCAGAUAAUUCCACUUUGUGGCCCAGGUUUUCCCUAAUGUGGCCCAAAAGAGUGCAAAUCUCAUUCCCCUUUUUUCUUUAGUUGGUUGGCAGAACUCGGAUUAUGAAGUUGCAAACUGAUCUUGCUGAUGCGAACAAAGAAGUCCCAUCAUAAGUGAAAACUAAGACAAUGAGUGGAAACCCUCAAUAACUGUCGAGAAUACAAGGAUGCUGCAUUGAAAGUGCAGCGGUGCCAAACUGGGAGGAGUGUGUACUGGCAGCAGAUGACUUACCCUAAGGCACUUCUUCAUCUUCCCCUAAGGGAGUGCUGGGUUAACUGAGUGUGUCAUUAGUACAAGUGUGAAAAACCACAGUAGUUUAGUGCUUUAGUCUCUUUUUAACUCUAGAAAAAUGAGGUAGAGUGAGUUCUAACUUACUAGCUGGGGGAGAUUUUGGCAGGAAUGUUUGCUUGGUAGGAAAUGAGUUUGUAAAAGGCAGUACCAGGAGGUUCAUUGGCAGCCCUUUAUCUCACUGCUAAGGAUGCAAAGUGCUUGCAGCACUGGGCACAAAAGCCCACUACCACUCAGUGCAAGUAUUCACCUGGAAACCAAGUCCUACAUAAUAGCAGCAUUCAGCUGCUUGAACAGACACUGAGUGCAUCAGAGACAUCUGGGGUACCCUGAUGGCAGCUGCUACAGAAGGGUUCAAGUUUCCCAUAGGUCUUGUGUCAUCUCAUAGAGUCAUAGAAUCAUAGAACCGUUGUGAGUAGGAAGGGACCUUUACAGAUCACCUGCUCCAACCCCCUGCAAUGAACAGGGACACCCACAGUUCCAUCAGGUGCUCGGAGCCCUGUCCAGCCUAACCUUGAAUGUCUCCAGGGAUGGGGCAUCCACCACCUCUCUGGGCAACCCAAAUCUCCCCUCUUUCAGUGUGAAACCAUUUCUGCUUGUCCUAUCUGCUUGCUGCUGUGCAAAUGUUUCAAAUGUCUCAAACACAAGGUGUCUUUUCAGAACUUCAGCUAGGGCCCUGCUUUCACAUCCACAGAGGACAAUGGCUGGAGGUCUUUCAUUUCCCUUCUGAAAACAUUCAUGUUAAAGAUGUGGAACUCUCCAACACAUUGUCAGUGUGAGCCAUGGAGUCCAUAACAGAAACAGGCCACAAGAAUAAUGUGUACUGCCUUUCUCUGGAGCACAACAGUUUAAAUACAGAUCCCCCUUUUAUACCUUUCUUCAGUGCUUUGCAUUUGUUUUUCAAAACUAAGACAGAGCCUGUAAAGUGUUUCUUUGUUGUCAUGCCAGUACAUGCAAAACAAUGAUCAAUUCUACAUGAGGAAUUGCAAUUGUGAUCCCAACAGAUAGAGACAUGCCCCUCCAAACACCUUGUUUUACGUAAUUACAUCAGAUACACAGAAAGAUUGGUACUUUCAAAUAAUUUUCGAUCUUGAAUCAAAUCACAAGUACUUUGAGAAAAGCAAAUAAUACGUACUUUUCAAGGCAGGGACUGGAAAAAUAGCUCCGCUCCCAUUCCUCUUCAAAACCACAAAUAAAUCACACAGGCCCAAAGCUGAAUAUCUUGUU